CCUACGGGUGGCAGCAGUGGGGAAUAUUGGACAAUGGGGGCAACCCUGAUCCAGCCAUGCCGCGUGUGUGAAGAAGGCCCUCGGGUUGUAAAGCACUUUCAGUGAGGAAGAACGCCUGGUGGUUAAUACCCAUCAGGAAAGACAUCACUCACAGAAGAAGCACCGGCUAACUCCGUGCCAGCAGCCGCGGUAAUACGGAGGGUGCGAGCGUUAAUCGGAAUUACUGGGCGUAAAGCGCGCGUAGGUGGCUUGAUAAGCCGGUUGUGAAAGCCCCGGGCUCAACCUGGGAACGGCAUCCGGAACUGUCAAGCUAGAGUGCAAGAGAGGAAGGUAGAAUUCCCGGUGUAGCGGUGAAAUGCGUAGAGAUCGGGAGGAAUACCAGUGGCGAAGGCGGCCUUCUGGACUGACACUGACACUGAGGUGCGAAAGCGUGGGUAGCAAACAGGAUUAGAUACCCCUGUAGUC
rnacentral:rRNA from 1 species